CUAGCCGUAAACGAUGGGUACUAGGUGUGGGAGGUAUCGACCCCUUCCGUGCCGGAGUUAACGCAAUAAGUACCCCGCCUGGGGACUACGAUCGCAAGAUUGAAACUCAAAGGAAUUGACGGGGGCCCGCACAAGCGGUGGAGUAUGUGGUUUAAUUCGAUGCAACGCGAAGAACCUUACCUGGGUUUGACAUCCACGGAACCCUCUUGAAAGAGAGGGGUGCCCUUCGGGGAGCCGUGAGACAGGUGC
rnacentral:rRNA from 1 species